rnacentral:rRNA from 1 species
UACGGAGGGAGCUAGCGUUGUUCGGAUAUACUGGGCGUAAAGCGCACGUAGGCGGCGCAGCAAGUCAGGGGUGAAAUCCCGGGGCUCAACCCCGGAACUGCCCUUGAAACUGCAGUGCUAGAAUCUUGGAGAGGCGAGUGGAAUUCCGAGUGUAGAGGUGAAAUUCGUAGAUAUUCGGAAGAACACCAGUGGCGAAGGCGACUCGCUGGACAAGUAUUGACGCUGAGGUGCGAAAGCGUGGGGAGCAAACAGG